UACGGAGGGGGCUAGCGUUGUUCGGAAUUACUGGGCGUAAAGCGCACGUAGGCGGCUUUGUAAGUUAGAGGUGAAAGCCCGGGGCUCAACCCCGGAAUAGCCUUUAAGACGGCAUCGCUUGAACACGGGAGAGGUGAGUGGAAUUCCGGGUGUAGAGGUGAAAUUCGUAGAUAUUCGGAAGAACACCAGUGGCGAAGGCGGCUCACUGGACCGUUGUUGACGCUGAGGUGCGAAAGCGUGGGGAGCAAACAGG
rnacentral:rRNA from 1 species